UUCACUAAGCUCAGAUUCAUUAGCUUCCUGGCAUCCACCAUCCCAAACAGUGUUGGAAGGUGUUUGUGGAGGGAACCCGGCUAUUUUAAGCCUCCUGGAGAACACCUGAGGCUUAGCUGCCUCCUGGCAGGUGACUUCACCCUCCCCUGGAGAGGACUCAUUAGGGAUUGUUUUGCAGCCCCGGGAGGCAGGCCUGGGUGGUGCUCCAUUCCUUCCUGGGAUGUUCUGGAACUUUGUGGCCUCCCUGGCAGGGAUAAGCCAUGCUCUGGGCUUCAUAUUAAUCGCUGCUUCACUAAUGAGCUUCACAGAUGCCCUAGGGUGCUCCCAGGGACCGGAAGCUGGAGGGGAAGGAGCUCCAGCUCAGGCGGAUUCAGGGCUUCAGGAGAACGGUGGAACUUCAGCUACAUUUUUUUGGUCUUUAAGGCAAAACAUACAAAUCCAGGAGGAGUGUUCUGUGGCCAGCAGUCUGUGCAGGGCUCACUUCUGACAUUCUCCCAGCCAAGCUUCCUAUCCUGGCCACCUCACCCUGCCUGGGACAGGCUUUUUUGACUCUGUUUCCAGCAACAGAACAGGCAUUAGUCUUAGCAACACCUUGCUGAAUGCCUUGAUACCAGUUUUAGGAAUAAAAUGAACUUUGAUUGAUGCAAAGUACGAUGUGUUUUGUGCCAGUC
rnacentral:lncRNA from 1 species